rnacentral:rRNA from 1 species
UACAGAGGUGGCAAGCGUUGUUCGGAAUUACUGGGCGUAAAGGGCGCGUAGGCGGCCUACUAAGUCAGACGUGAAAUCCCCCGGCUUAACCUGGGAACUGCGUCUGAUACUGGAAGGCUUGAGUAUGGGAGAGGGAUGUAGAAUUCCAGGUGUAGCGGUGAAAUGCGUAGAUAUCUGGAGGAAUACCGGUGGCGAAGGCGGCGACCUGGGCCAAUACUGACGCUGAGGUGCGAAAGCGUGGGGAGCAAACAGG